rnacentral:lncRNA from 1 species
CUUUUCAGAGAAGGUCUCGAAUCCUGAAGACAGACUUCGAGGGGAUGAUGCAGCAAGAAGACCCACACCAGAUGAGGGCGCCUUGAUAUUGGAUUUCCCAGCCUCCAGAACUAAGCCUGGGACUUGCCUCUGUGAUCUGGUGCUUUGGAGGGCCUUGGGCCUCAGGGCUAGCAAGGUCCCUUUCUGGAGAUUCCAGUUCCUCUGCCCGCCCUCCUUUACCUCUUUCUCCUCACACAUCUGUCUGAGGGAUGGGGAUGAGGGCUGCCAACCAAUGUUACCACUUGACAGACCACAAGAGGGCUGGUUCCAGUGCCUCCCUUGUUCAGCUGCUGACACUGCAGCUUGGCAGUCAUUGAAGGCAAUAUUUAGCUCCUACAUCUGACCUGAUUGGAAGAUCAGGCUUCUGUCGUCCUGGUUUCCUGGCCUUGGAUAGUUCUUCACUAACUUUUAUUCAUUAAGGCAGUGGGCAGAAAGCAGCAGAACCCUGUUUUUUCUUUUUUUGGGGUUUUUGUUGUUGUUGUUGUUGUUGUUUUGUUUUUUUUUGAAACAGGGUCUCCCUCUGUCACCCAUGCUGGAGUGCAGAGGUUCUGUCAUAACUCACUAUAGCCUCGACCUCCUGGGCUCAAGCAAUCUUCCCACCUCAGCCUCCUGAGUAGCUAGGGACCACAGGUGCAUGCCACUAUGCCUAACUAAUUUUUGUAUUUUUUUGUAGAGAUGGGGUUUUGCCAUGUUGCCCAUGCUGGUUUUGAACUCUAGAACUCAAGCAAUCAGCUGGCCUCAGCCUCCCAAAGUACUGAGAUUACAGGUGUGAGCCACUGUGCCUGGCCAGAACCUGUUUUUUGUUUGUUUGUUUUUGUUUUGUUUGUUUGAGGCGGAGUUUUGCUCUUGUUGCCCAGGCUGGAAUGCAAUGGCGCGAUCUCGGCUCACCGCAACCUCUGCCUCCUGGAUUCAAACAAUUCUCCUGCCUCAGCCUCCCAACCAGCUGGGAUUACAGGCAUGCGCCACCACGCCCAGCUAAUUUUGUAUUUUUAGUAGAGAUGGGAUUUCACCAUGUAGGUCAGGCUGGUCUCGAACUCCCAACCUCAGGUGAUCUGCCCGCCUCGGCCUCCCCAAGUGCUGGGAUUACAGACGUGAGCCACCGCGCCCAGCCCAGAACCUGUUUUUUAAUUUAAAAUUCUUAUUUAAAAGUUCUGUACAUUUUGAGAAUUCUUAAAACCUUCACACAUUUAAUUUAAAUAGCAGCAGAGAUAUCUGGUUCCUGGUAAUGUGAACAGGAUGGCUUGAUACAAGCUCCCUGCUCACUGCAUUUCCUCACUUCCUAAAUUCCUAGGGAUGUACCUCCAGUGAAUAAUAGUUUUUACCACCUGUACAUAUACAGGGUCAGCGGCCAUGGCUCCUUGCUCACCCAUUAACUAAGAUCACAUCCUACAUACAGUACCAGACUUAGAGCCAGAGCCCUGGUCAUGGCCUCCUAGGUUCUCACACUUGACUUUUACUCAAUCAUUUCACCAUUUAGGCUUUAUAAAAAGGGGAGACUGGCCGGGCGCGGCGGCUCAUGCCUGUAAUCCCAGCACUUUGAGAGGCUGAGGGAGGUGGAUGACCUGAGGUCAGGAGUUUGAGACCACCCAACAUGGUGAAACCCUGUCUCUACUAAAAAUACAAAAAUUAGCCAGGUAUAGUGGCACAUGCCUGUAGUCCCAGCUACUCUGAGGCAGCUGAGGCAGGAGAAUCGCUUGAACCUGGGAGGCGGAGGUUGCAGUGAGCCGAGAUCAUGCCACUGUACUCCAGCCUGGGUGACACAGUGAAACUCCAUCUCAAAUAAAUAAAUAAAUAAAAUGGGGGAAUUAUAUGACUGUUAGGGUCCUCCAGAUCUGAUACCCAGGACUGUAAUCUAAAGACUUGAUUAUGUUCAUUAAUACAUGGCAAUUUCAUUCCUUUCCUAAGAAUUACUAUCCAAAGAUCAUCCCUAAGCCCUUCCUACAAGAAACUGCCCCUUUUACAGAAUGAAUAAAGUUGUCCUAGAUUCCCGUUUUUUCCUCACUUUUUCUCAUAUCUCUAAGUGACAGUAUCCGGAGACAGCUCAGAAAGCUGGAUUUUUAGCUUUUCGUCAUAGGGCUUGUAUAUGUACAUGCAUGCAUGCACAAAUGUAUGUAUAUGUUCAUUCUUAAAGGGAUAUGGGCCAUGGGCACCUUCACUCUGUGGCCCCCCACCUCCCACCAGCCCUACUUGAAUUUUAGUAAAUAGUAAUUAAAUGCCAGGACCAGGCACAGUGGCUCACACCUGUAACCCCAGCAUUUUUGGAGGCUGAGGUGGGUGGAUCACCUGAGGUCAGGAGUUCGAGACCAGCCUGGCCAACAUGGUGAAACCCUAUCUCUACUAAAAAUACAAAAAUUAGCCGGGUUUGGUGGCACACAACUGUAAUCCCAGCUACUUGGGUGGCUGAGGCAGGAGAAUCACUUGAACCUGAGAGACGGAUGUUGCAGUGAGCCAAGAUCGCACAACUGCACUCCAGCCUAGGCGACAGAGCAAGACUCCAUCUCGAAAGAAAGAGGGAAGGAAGGAAGGGAGGAAGGAAGGAAGGAAGGAAGGAAGGAAGGAAGGAAGGAAAAAGAAGAGAAAAGGAACUCCAUCUCUACUAAAAAUACAAAAAAAUUAGCCAGGCAUGGUGGCGGGCACCUGUAAUCUCAGCUACUUCAGGAGUCUGAGACAGGAGAAUUGCUUGAACCUGGGAGGCCCUUGCAGUGAGCUGAGAUUGUGCCACUGCACUCAGCCUGGGCAACAAGAGUGAAACUCCGCCUCAAUGAUAAAUAAAUAAAUAAAUAAAUAAAUAAAUAAAUAAAUAAAUAAAUGCCAGGAUGCCUAGAAGAACAAAAGAGUAUGUACUAAGAGGCCAGAUAUAUGAGUGCAGCUGUAGUGAUAAGGAGGCCAUUGGGAUAGCCAAUGUCACAUAGGUCUAAAGUUUGGUUUUAGCUAGAGCUUUCUUCUACCCUAAUACUGCCCCCAUGUCCUGACAGCGGGUAUUGCAGCAAAUCCUGGACUGCAGCCAGAAGCUCUGGUCUCUACAUCAGCUUCUCCAUUUGAAACAUCUCAGAAUUUGAAUUUUGACUACUCUGGUGUUAACAUCAAAAUGCAUUUCAUGGGCCGGGCCUGGUGGCUCACGCCUGUAAUGCAGCACUUUGGGAGGCCAAGGCAGGCGGAUCACGAAGUCAGGGGAUCGAGACCAUCCUGGCCAACAUGGUGAAACCCUGUCUCUAUUAAAAAUACAAAAAAUUAGCCGGCGUGGUGGCAGGCACCUGUAGUCCCAGCUAUUCAGGAGGCCUCAGCAGGAGAAUUGCUUGAAGCCAGGAGGUAGAGGUUGCAGUGAGCUGAGAUCGUGCCACUGCACUCCAUCCUGGGCGACAGAGCGAGUUUCCAUCUCAAAAAACCAAAAUCAAACAAACAAAAAAACCCACAAAAAACCAAAAUGCAUUUUAUAGUGUUAAAGAAAACAUAUUUAUGUGGCAAUUUCUACACAUUUUUCUUCUGCAUUACUUCAUUUAAUCCUUCUCUCAAUCCUGAGAGCAAAGGACAGAAAAUGUUGUUCCCACUGUUUUCCACUGUUUGGUUUUGGUUUGUUUCCUUUCUUUUUUUUUCUUUGAGACAGGCUCUUGCUCUGUCACUCAAGCUGGAAUGCAGUGGCAUGAUCAUAGCUCACUGUAGCCUUGACUUCUUGGGCUCAAGUGAUCCCACCUCAGCCUCCCAAGUAGCUGGGACUACAGGCACACACCACCACAUCUGGCUAAUUCUUUUUUAUUUUUAGUAUAGACGAGGUCUCACUAUGUGACCAGGCUGGUCUCCAACUCCUGAGCUGAAGCUAUCCUCCUGCCUCAGCCUCCCAAAGUGCUGGGAGAUCUGGCCCUUGUUUUUUGUUUUUGUUUUUGUUUUUUAUGAGAUGGGUGGCUGUUGCCCAGACUGGAGUCCCGUGACACGAUCACAGCUCACUGCAGCCUCGACCUCCCCAGGCUCAGGUGAUCCUCUCACUUCAGUUUUUUUUGUAUUUUAGUAGAGACAGAGUUUUGCCAUGUUGCCCAGGCUGUUCUCGAAUUCCUGAGCUCAAGGGAUCUGUCUGCCUCAGCCUCCCAAAGUGCUAGGAUUACAGGCAGGAGUGAGCCACUGUGCCUGGCCCCUUGCUGUUUUUUUGUUUUGUUUUGUUUUUGUUUGUUUGUUUUACAGCAAAUAAAAAUGCAGUCUGGAUUUUAAGGGCCACACAGCAGCAAGAACUAAAACCUGGGUCUCCAAGGUCCAAGUCCAGGACUUCUCUAUGACACCCUACUGCAGCCCUUUGCUGGAUACCAUACAAAGCAAAUUGAGCAGAUGUGUUCUCUGCCCUCUGAAAGUUUGGACUCAAAUGGACAGCCACAAUUCUGGCAAACAUAAAAGGACAAAGUGAUUUAGUGUCAACUCACAUACGCAAUAAAUAACUGAGUUAAAUAGAUAAGGAAAGGCAUGUUCACCUGGUCUACUGAUAUUUUUUAAAUUCCAGUUGAGUAGAGAGCAAUGUUAAUAAGACUAAGGUUUUGGGCCAGUCCCAUUUUUGCCUACUUGCUUUGCACCUGGAAAAAUAUUUGUAACUGCAUGCAAACUCUUUCCCCUCCUCGUCUUCAACAAUCUGUAAACUUUCCCUGAGCAGCUACCAAGUGUAACACAAAGUGGGAAUGAAGGACCAUUAAGAAAUCAUCUCUGUGCCAUGCGCGGUGGCUCAAGCCUAUAAUCCCAGCACUUUGGGAGGCCGAGGCGGGUGGAUCACCUGAGCUCGGGAGUUCAAGGCCAGCCUGGCCAAUAUGGUGAAACCCUGUCUCUACUAAAAAUACAAAAAAAAAAAAAAAAAAAAAAUAGCUGGAUAUGAUGGCAUGUACCUGUAGUCCCAGCUACUCAGGAGGCUGAGGCAGAAGAAUCGCUUGAACCCAGGAGGCAGAGGUUGCAGUGAGCUGAGAUUGCUCCAUUGCACUCCAGCCUGAGAAACAAAAGCAAAACUCUAUCCCCACCCCCCCCAAAAAAAAGGAAGGAAAAGAGAAGAAAAAAAGUCAUCUGUGCCCUCGAGCAACAUCUUUAACCAUUCGCCUAAUUCAAACCACUGGGAUGAAAAUGUAUAUCCUGUAUAUACCAUCUCUACUGCUGGGAAAAAAGACACGUCAACUCAAUACCCAUCCUAUUUUUAGACGGCCUGAGAUUCGUCCUUAUCCAUGCAGGGCAGUCGGGUAGGACAAUGAAGAGGUGGACUUCUGAAUUUGAGAGAAAUUGGUCUUAUCCCAGAGAAGUGAGGCCACCACCCACCUGCAAUAGCUUGGCUUCCUGGAUCCCUAAGCAAAGACAGAGUCUUGCUCUGUCACUCGGGCUGGAGUACAGUGACACAAUCACGGUUCACUGCAGCCUGGACCUCCCAGGCUCAAGUGAUCCCCCUGCUGCAGCCUCCUGAGUAGCUGGGACUACAGGCCUGUGCCACCAUGUCCAGGUAAUUUUUAAAUUUUCUUUUCUCUCUCUCUCUCUCUCUUCUUUUUUCUUUCUGAGACAGAGUCUUGCUCUGUCACCCAGGCUGGAGUACAGUGUUGUGAUCUUGGCUCACUGCAACCUCCGUCUCCCGGAUUCAAGCAAUUCUUCUGACUCAGCCUGCCGAGUAGCUGGGACUACAGGCGUGCACCAUGGUGACCAGCUAAUUUUCGUAUUUUUUUUUAGUAGAGUCGGGGUUUCACAUGUUGGCCAGGCUGGUCUUGAACUCCUGACCUCAAGUGAAUUUUUAAAUUUUCUGUAGGAAUGGCAGUCUCACUAUGUUCCCCAGGCUGUCUUGAACUCCUGGGCUCAAGCAAUUCUCCCACCUCGGCUUCCCAAAUUAUUGGGAUUACAGGCAUGAGCCACUGCACCUGGGCAACACCUUGUUUUAAACAACAACAACAACAACAAAACCUCAAUGUACUUAAACAGAAUGGGUCUCCUGGUGGUCCUUAGGUCAUGGGGUGGGGUCAUGAUGCUGUCCAUUAAUGAAAGGGCAGGUGAAAUCUAGAGCAGGAGCUAAGCCUAUCUGAAUCUCAGAGCUGGGCAGCAGAAGAAUCUAUGUCAUGAAAUAAGAGGGACCAGUCCCCACUCUUCUGACCUUAGGCCCCUCCCCUAUUCCUUUAGAAUCAUAGCCUUUCUUCUCUUACCUGUAUUACUACAAAGUCAUCUGUAAGAAGGUACUGGAACUUUCAGGGCUUGAAUAACAAUCUGCCUUAUAGGUUGCAUUAGAGAACAUACAGUAAAGUAUUAUUUGGUGAAGUUAGGGAAUGGAGUGUUCUCGUUAAUCAAAUAAUCUGGUUAACAAAGUAGCACUCAACGUAUAGUAAUAUUUGGGAUAUACUUAUACAGGUUGAGUAUCCCUGACAAAAUAAUCUGAAAUCCAAAGCACUUCUGGUUCCAAGCAUUUGGAUAAGGGAUACUCAACCUAUACUAAAAUUAUUCACUGUUUAUCUGAAAUUCAAAUUUAACAAGGUGUUCUGUAUUUUGUCUGGAGACCUUACUGAUACAGCUUAGAUGUCCUCUCCAAAUCUCAUGUUCAGAUAUAAUCCCCAGUAUUGGAAGUGGAGCCUGAUGGGAGGUAUUGGGGUCAUGGGAGCAGAUCCCUCAUGGCUUCGUGCUGUUCUCACCACAGUGAGUGUGUUCUCUCAAUCCGGUUGUUUCAAAGUUGUGGCGCCACCCCCCGCCCCCACCCCCACCCCCAUCACUCACUGUCUUGCUCUUACUUUUGCCAUGUGACAUGCCUGCUCCCACUUCACCUUCUACAAUGAGUAAAAGCUUCCUGA